GACGAACGCUGGCGGCGUGCUUAACACAUGCAAGUCGAACGGAAAGGCCCUGCUUUUGUGGGGUGCUCGAGUGGCGAACGGGUGAGUAACACGUGAGUAACCUGCCCUUGACUUUGUGAUAACUUCAGGAAACUGGGGCUAAUACCGGAUAGGAGCUCCUGCUGCAUGGGGGGGGUUGGAAAGUUUCGGCGGUUGGGGAUGGACUCGCGGCUUAUCAGCUUGUUGGUGGGGUAGUGGCUUACCAAGGCUUUGACGGGUAGCCGGCCUGAGAGGGUGACCGGCCACAUUGGGACUGAGAUACGGCCCAGACUCCUACGGGAGGCAGCAGUGGGGAAUAUUGCACAAUGGGCGGAAGCCUGAUGCAGCAACGCCGCGUGCGGGAUGACGGCCUUCGGGUUGUAAACCGCUUUCGCCUGUGACGAAGCGUGAGUGACGGUAAUGGGUAAAGAAGCACCGGCUAACUACGUG
rnacentral:rRNA from 1 species